rnacentral:rRNA from 1 species
AUUGAACGCUGGCGGCAUGCCUUACACAUGCAAGUCGAACGGUAACAGGUCUUCGGAUGCCGACGAGUGGCGAACGGGUGAGUAAUACAUCGGAACGUGCCUAGUAGUGGGGGAUAACUACUCGAAAGAGUGGCUAAUACCGCAUGAGAUCUACGGAUGAAAGCAGGGGAUCGCAAGACCUUGCGCUACUAGAGCGGCCGAUGGCAGAUUAGGUAGUUGGUGGGAUAAAAGCUUACCAAGCCGACGAUCUGUAGCUGGUCUGAGAGGACGAUCAGCCACACUGGGACUGAGACACGGCCCAGACUCCUACGGGAGGCAGCAGUGGGGAAUUUUGGACAAUGGGCGAAAGCCUGAUCCAGCAAUGCCGCGUGCAGGAUGAAGGCCUUCGGGUUGUAAACUGUUUUUGUACGGAACGAAAAGCCCCGGGUUAAUACCCUGGGGUCAUGACGGUACCGUAAGAAUAAGCACCGGCUAACUACGUGCCAGCCGCCGCCGUAA